GUAAGACUGGGAUAACUCCGGGAAACCGGGGCUAAUACCGGAUGGUUGUUUGAACCGCAUGGUUCAAACAUAAAAGGUGGCUUCGGCUACCACUUACAUCUUCCUAACCGCGGCGCAUUAGCUAGUUGGUGAGGUAACGGGGGGGGGGGGGGGGACGAUGCGUAGCCGACCUGAGAGGGUGAUCGGCCACACUGGGACUGAGACACGGCCCAGACUCCUACGGGAGGCAGCAGUAGGGAAUCUUCCGCAAUGGACGAAAGUCUGACGGAGCAACGCCGCGUGAGUGAUGAAGGUUUUCGGAUCCUAAAGC
rnacentral:rRNA from 1 species